AACCUUUCACGGCCUUUUGGCUAAGAUCAAGUGUAGUAUCUGUUCUUAUCAGUAGUUUAAUAUCUGAUACAUGGGCCAAUGGCUCACACGAUAUUAAAUUUUUUUUUUGAUGGGGAGGGUUCACCACAGCAGCUUGCUACUGUGACUCUCGACCGUCUCCCUAGCGUUGAACUAUUGCUUGGGCCUGACGCACCCCAC